GAAGAAGAAGAAGAAGAAGAAUACGAGGGAAAAUAAGGAGGAAAAGUUAAACAAGGAGGAAAAGGAAGCGUGGAAAAUUAACUUGACCAAGCUGAAAAUGAAUCACCUUGACCCCGAAGAUGCCAUAUUCCUGGUUGAUGCAUUCCUGGAUGAGUGCAAGGUGGAUCAGCAUGGACAAACUAAAGGAGGGUCAAAACAAUCCACAAAGUUGUGUGUUUGGCCUGAUGAGGACAAAGAUGGUCAACCUCUGCCAAAAAGAUGUAGAGCUGGACAGAAACGAAAGCGAGAUUCAGCUACUGUUUCUUCAGCAAGCGUUAAAAGCGUGUCCUGUGCUCCGUCUACCAGCACAACUGAAGACACAGUGAUCAUCGAAUUUUUU